rnacentral:rRNA from 1 species
GAUGAACGCUGACAGAAUGCUUAACACAUGCAAGUCUACUUGAAUUUGGGUUUUUUAACUUAGAUUUGGGUGGCGGACGGGUGAGUAACGCGUAAAGAACUUGCCUCACAGCUAGGGACAACAUUUGGAAACGAAUGCUAAUACCUGAUAUUAUGAUUAUAAGGCAUCUUAGAAUUAUGAAAGCUAUAUGCGCUGUGAGAGAGCUUUGCGUCCCAUUAGCUAGUUGGAGAGGUAACGGCUCACCAAGGCGAUGAUGGGUAGCCGGCCUGAGAGGGUGAACGGCAAAAAGGGGACUGAGACACGGCCCUUACUCCUACGGGAGGCAGCAGUGGGGAAUAUUGGACAAUGGACCAAGAGUCUGAUCCAGCAAUUCUGUGUGCACGAUGACGUUUUUCGGAAUGUAAAGUGCUUUCAGUUGGGAAGAAAAAAAUGACGGUACCAACAGAAGAAGUGACGGCUAAAUACGUG